UGAGGUUAGGAUAAUACCCAGUUUGACCUUGUAACAACUGUGACAGAGAGGGGACAGCCUUCUUCCUGAGCUUUUAGUACACAGUACUCUUAGGCAGCACAGAAAUGCUUACGUGAUGCUAGAACAGAAGUAAAAAAGAUGGCAAUAGCAUUUCAGGUUGCCUUUGCUAGGACUACUGCGAUGUGGGAUAUGCAGUGAGUCUGCGAUCACUGUAGAAGCAGUCUGCCAGGCAGCUUCUACAUCUGGAGCUGAUGACCCACAUCCAAGUCUUCAUACAGACCUUGGAACAGCAAUCAGGAGAUAUUCUGCUUCUGCAGUGGAUCUCUAUGGCACAGGAGAAAAGUCACUUUUAUUUAUGUAGCAGUCCUUGCAUGGAAAAAAAAAGAAGUGGUGCUAAGAACUCCAGUAGACAGUGCUUACUGAGAAAGGUGUGAUGGCAGAUUAAAUCCAUGGCAGGAAACAGUGAUAAUGCCCACUGUAGAGCCGUGUGAAGAUGCUGGUUAAAGCUCCCGACAGGAUCAGGCCUAGAGUCUUGAAUUGUCACUGAUUUCACCAGGGCUGAGGGCACCUGACAGCUUGGAGCCUUGGAGACCCAGCCCAAAAGGAGCAGAAGGCGCAAACCGCAGAGGAAUGAAGUUGCUUGUGUAGGAAUGAAUAUCAGCUAGGAGCAAAAGUAUGAGUGAAAAAAAAAAAAAGACUCUCAGCAAUUUUUGCAAAGACUGUAAAUUUUCAAGUUGAUCUGGAGAUCAUCAGGAUGGGACCUUAGCACCAGCAACCUCCAGCAGACUGCGGUGGCUCAGCCUUUAAUAUGCUUCCACCCCUGUGUGUUAUACAGCCGUGAUACUGAACACACAAGGCAGACAGCUGCCCUGAGGCAUUCUCCAUAAAAACUUUCAUAUCACAGCGAAACUGAAUGCGCCAUUAUAACACCACGUCUCCUCUUCUUCAUGACAGACUUCUAUUUUUCCAUAUCACUGCCGCAUUCUCAUAACUGUGACCUGCUCAGUGCAAAUGGAAGCAGUUUGGGUGAUGAAGCAACCUUUUCCUUUGGGUACCUUGGGCCCCAUGUCCCCUCUAUCAGGAAAGAACAAGACCUGCAGUGUUCCUCAGUCCCACAUCCAUGAACCCCUACCUGGAUUCUUAUCAGGAUGCUGGCCUUGGUAUGUGAGGG